rnacentral:rRNA from 1 species
UACGGGGGGAGCAAGCGUUGUUCGGAUUUACUGGGCGUAAAGGGCGCGUAGGCGGCAUGACAAGUCACUUGUGAAAUCUCUGGGCUUAACCCAGAACGGCCAAGUGAAACUGACAUGCUAGAGUGCAGAAGGGGCAAUCGGAAUUCUUGGUGUAGCGGUGAAAUGCGUAGAUAUCAAGAGGAACACCUGAGGUGAAGACGGGUUGCUGGGCUGACACUGACGCUGAUGCGCGAAAGCCAGGGGAGCAAACGGG